CCUACGGGGUGCAGCAGUGAGGAAUAUUGGUCAAUGGACGCAAGUCUGAACCAGCCAUGCCGCGUGCAGGAAGACGGCUCUAUGAGUGGUAAACUGCUUUUGUACGAGGGUAAACGCAGAUACGCGUAUCUGUCUGAAAGGAUGGUACGAAUAAGGAUCGGCUAACUCCGUGCCAGCAGCCGCGGUAAUACGGAGGAUUCAAGCGUUAUCCGGAUUUAUUUGGUUUAACGGGUGCGUAGGCGGUCGGAUAAGUUAGAGGUGAAAUCCCGAGGCUCAACUUCGGAAUUGCAUCUGAUACUGUUCGGCUAGAGAGUAGUUGCGGUAGGCGGAAUGUAAGGUGUAGCGGUGAAAUGCUUAGAGAUCAUACAGAACACCGAUGGCGAAGGCAGCUUACCAAGCUACUUCUGACGUUGAGGCACGAAAGCGUGGGGAGCAAACAGGAUUAGAUACCCUGGUAGUC
rnacentral:rRNA from 1 species